rnacentral:rRNA from 2 species
AGAGUUUGAUCCUGGCUCAGAGCGAACGCUGGCGGCAGGCUUAACACAUGCAAGUCGAACGGGCACCUUCGGGUGUCAGUGGCAGGCGGGUGAGUAACACGUGGGAACGUGCCCUUUGGUUCGGGACAACUCCGGGAAACUGGAGCUAAUACCGGAUACGCCCUUCGGGGGAAAGAUUUAUCGCCAAAGGAUCGGCCCGCGUCUGAUUAGCUAGUUGGUAGGGUAAUGGCCUACCAAGGCGACGAUCAGUAGCUGGUCUGAGAGGAUGAUCAGCCACACUGGGACUGAGACACGGCCCAGACUCCUACGGGAGGCAGCAGUGGGGAAUAUUGGACAAUGGGCGCAAGCCUGAUCCAGCCAUGCCGCGUGAGUGAUGAAGGCCUUAGGGUUGUAAAGCUCUUUUGUCCGGGAAGAUAAUGACUGUACCGGAAGAAUAAGCCCCGGCUAACUUCGUGCCAGCAGCCGCGGUAAUACGAAGGGGGCUAGCGUUGCUCGGAAUCACUGGGCGUAAAGGGCGCGUAGGCGGAUACUUAAGUCAGGGGUGAAAGCCUGAGGCUCAACCUCAGAAUUGCCUUUGAUACUGAGUAUCUCGAGACCGGAAGAGGUAAGUGGAACUGCGAGUGUAGAGGUGAAAUUCGUAGAUAUUCGCAAGAACAUCAGUGGCGAAGGCGGCUUACUGGUCCGGUUCUGACGCUGAGGCGCGAAAGCGUGGGGAGCAAACAGGAUUAGAUACCCCCGUAGUCC